AUGCGGGUCAUGAAUCAUUUUGACUCCCUUCACACCGCGAAUCUACAGUGGCUCAACUCCGCGAAUGUGGUGCUCCUGCCUAAAAAGGAAGGGGCGGAGGGGAUCGCCGACUAUAGGCCCAUUAGCCUCAUCCACGCGGUCGCGAAAAUUAUUGCGAAGGUGCUCUCCACUCGGCUGGGCCCCCACAUGACAAGCCUCGUCUCCAACGCCCAAAGCGCCUUCAUUAAAACAAGAAGCAUCCAUGACAACUUCUUGUAUGUUCGCAAUCGCGCUCGGCGCUUGCACAAGAGCAAGACCCCGUCCCUUCUUUUCAAGCUUGAUAUUCGCAAGGCCUUUGACACCGUCAAGUGGGAGUAUUUGCUUGAUCUUCUCCAACGGCGAGGGUUCCCUCCCAAAUUCAGGGAUUGGAUCGCUGCCCUCCUUUGCUCUUCAUCUUCGAGGAUCAUCCUCAAUGGUAUUGCCGGUGGUCCAAUGUAA
rnacentral:rRNA from 1 species